rnacentral:rRNA from 1 species
UCUAAGCACGAAACUUGCCCCGAGAUGAGUUCUCCCUGAGACUUUAAGUCUCCUGAAGGAACGUUGAAGACGACGACGUUGAUAGGCCGGGUGUGUAAGCGCAGCGAUGCGUUGAGCUAACCGGUACUAAUGAACCGUGAGGCUUAACCUUACAACGCCGAAG